CUGGCUCAGAACGAACGCUGGUGGCGUGUCUAUACAUGCAAGUCGAGCGAGGCAGCAAUGCCGAGCGGCGAACGGGUGAGUAACGCGUAAGCAAUCUGCCCCAUAUCAGGAAAUACCCGUGCCAACGCGCGGUUAAUGUCCAGGAGAGUGGCCAGCUGCAUGGCUGGUUGACUAGAGAUUUAUCGGUAUGGGAUGAGCUUGCGUCCGAUUAGCUAGUUGGCGGGGCAACGGCCCACCAAGGCGACGAUCGGUAGCCGGCCUGAGAGGGUGAUCGGCCACAUUGGGACUGAGAUACGGCCCAGACUCCUACGGGAGGCAGCAGUAGGGAAUAUUGCACAAUGGGGGAAACCCUGAUGCAGCAACGCCACGUGUGGGAAGAAGCAUUUCGGUGUGUAAACCACUGCCAUGAGGGAAUAAGGCCCGCCUUCGGACGGGAUUGAAUGUACCUUGAGAGGAAGCACCGGCAAACUUCGUGCCAGCCGCAGC
rnacentral:rRNA from 1 species